rnacentral:misc_RNA from 1 species
GAUGAAGAACGUAGUGAAAUGCGAUAAGUAAUGUGAAUUGCAGAAUUCAGUGAAUCAUCGAAUCUUUGAACGCACAUUGCGCCCCCUGGUAUUCCGGGGGGCAUGCCUGUCCGAGCGUCAUUACAACCCUCAAGCUCAGCUUGGUGUUGGGCCCCGCCGCCCCGGCGGGCCCUAAAGUCAGUGGCGGUGCCGUCCGGCUCCGAGCGUAGUAAUUCUUCUCGCUCUGGAGGUCCGGUCGUGUGCUCGCCAGCAACCCCCAAUUUUUUUCAGGUUGACCUCGGAGCAGGUAGGGAUACCCGCUGAACUUAAGCAUAUCAAUAAGCGGAGGA